AUGAACAAAUUAACAAACCUUUGCUCAAAUAGCUAAUCUGCGCUUCCAUCAAAUAGGCCCAAAAAAUUCCUUUAUAAAAACCACCUUCAAAAUGUCAAAUUCCAUACCCUUCAAAGCCCAUAAAUUUGAGAGCAAAUUAUCCAAUUGGCUCUUGAACUUUUUGUUUAGGUAAAAAUAAGCUCCAAAUCUAUUUUUGGCUGACUUUAUACCCUCGAACUUGUAAAACUGGGCACCCAUGACCCUUUUAGCCAAUUUAUCCGAUUUUGCAACCGAAGGCCAAUUCACACGAAUGUUAGUGUGCUUCUUCAAAGGGCAUUUUUGUCUGCGUUUUCUAAGCAAAAAAGGAACAACUCCUCCUUUUUCACUUGGGUAACAACAAGAUUACAUCCCUGUUGGAGUGAAUCUGUAAUCUUGUUGGGAUUACAGAUUCAAUCUCGAAUUUGGGAUCCUCGAGGAAUUUCUCUAGGAAGGAGGAACAAACAAGAAUAAAUACUACAAGUAGAAUUGCGGGGGGUGUCCAGCAAAGCCACGAGCGGGGGUAUUGCUCCGGGCAAAGCAAGAGUGGUUCUGGAUUGAGAAUCGCCUUUAGCCAGCCUUCUGACCUUCUUGGCUGCCUCCAACACGCGAACAUCUGGAGCUAAGAAGCCAUGGUUUUCAUUUUCCUCGAGUUGCUGGCUGCUGCUAUUGCUACUGCUACUUUGGAGAUUCUUCACCGCUGUCUUCAAUUCCUCCAGUGCCUCCACAUUCCUCUUCACCGCCUCCGCCUCCUCCUCGUCCGUGAGAUCAAUGUCGGGCUCCGGCUUGGGCUCUUGGAUGGUUAAUUUGCCAAUGUUGUUGAGCUUAUGAUACUGCCAUGUCCCGCACUGAACUGUGUCCAGUAUAAUACAGCGGAAUGAGGUGACCAAUUCUUAAAUUGACGCUCUCCGCUGGGAAUCGGGUGGUCGAACACCACGGAUCCGAGGUUGUUCCCGUGCAACUUCCCCAUUAAUUACUAGUAGUAUCCGCCAUCUUUACUCAGAGUUGAAAUUAAUUUGAUUUCCCCAGAGAUGGAUGCUGGAAUUAGAAAUUUAACCACUCUUCCUCUUUUUCUUGGACCGAGUAUUAUUUCUGCAUUUUACCACUGUGAAAGAAGCCGCACCUCUCCUCAAAACCUUAAACUGAAAUACGUACAAGAAGUAUGUAGCAAAAACGAUUCUAUUCCUUUUCCAUGAACUCGCUCUUCUAUCUUGGCUA